CAGCGACAAUUUUUUGCAAAAAAGCGUC
rnacentral:sRNA from 1 species